rnacentral:sRNA from 1 species
AUGUACCACGCGUACACUGCAGUUCCUGCGCGCUGUCCGCACCCACCUGGCGACUGCUGGCUACGUUUUGUUAGCC